CUUGCAUUCUUUAUAAAAAAAAUUUUCUGGUUACUACAAAGAAGAGUGCAGGUGGGGUAAAGAAUCUUAACAACCCAUCAAAAGGUUAAAACAAAAAAAAUUCCAGUGAACAGAAUCAUUUGUAGGGAAGAACGGACGUAUAAUUUUACUCGGUAGGGUAUUCGAUGCAAUUGAUAAUUCUAUGGUCGAAGUAACAGCCAGGUUGAAGACAGGACAACAUGGAACAACCUGAAAACGAAACAAAGCAUGAAAGUCAGCUUGUGUUAGGUGACGUUGAUGGUUUGGGGGAGCCCAACGCAACUUUUCUUUCUGAUUUGAAUCUCCUGAUGGUGGCUCUUUCACUGAGCUCUAUACGCAACGAAGAUCGCUUAAAUUUGGUUGACACAGGGAAGACAAGUAUUGAAGAUCGGGAAGCUAAUAAGGGCAAGGCCUGCAUACCCAGGUUACAUUCCAGAAAACGGGAAACAAAUGACGUAAAGCUCAUGAGACGACAAACACAAAGGAUCCAAACAUCACCCAAGGAUUUUAGGCAUUGCAGGAAAAUGUAGACAGGAAUGUUAUAAAUAGGAAGAGAACAGAAGAAGAAAAAGACAUGAUGAAGGCGAUGGCAUGUAAAAUAUUCUUUAGAUUCAGGUUUUUUAAUAUUUUAUUUUUGGUACUGUAGCAUGUAAAAUAUCCUCUGGGUGCUUUUUCGUUGGAUAAAUUUUUUUUUUCAGACCGUUCUCCUGGCAUUGUUGCUGUCGUCGGACAGAAUCCAUUAAACCCGCUGUUAUGGGACAAUAUAGAAACGGCAGACACCAGAGAUGUUAAUCCCAGAUGGAAUUUGGUGACUGUUUUCUUUCACUUUCUGUUUGUAAGCUUUUGUUGCGUCACCCUGUUUCUUAGUCGUGCGUUGGAGCGGCGAAAGAUUUCCUUGUGCAUUUUUCCAAAGUGGAUAGAACUCCUUCAUUCAAAUGCACUGUUAAACUUAACAGUAGUAUGUGGAAUUACAACUAUGUGCCUAUCUAUUCUCGAACUGGGAAGCGGAUAAACAAAUAUCUAUGGUAACAUUACGAGAUACGACACCAUAAUGAUUAUGCGGGGAUGCAUUCACAACAUAUAGCAACAAUCACACACACAAAUUAAGGC